rnacentral:rRNA from 1 species
AUACGGAGGAUCCGAGCGUUAUCCGGAUUUAUUGGGUUUAAAGGGUGCGCAGGCGGGAGAUUAAGUCGGCGGUGUAAUUUUGCAGCUCAACUGUAAAAGUGCCUUCGAAACUGGUUUCCUUGAGUGUAGAUGAAGUAGGCGGAAUUUGUGGUGUAGCGGUGAAAUGCAUAGAUAUCACGAGGAACUCCGAUUGCGCAGGCAGCUUACUAAACUACUACUGACGCUCAGGCACGAAGGCGUGGGGAUCAAACAGGAUUAGAUACCCUGGUAGUCCACGCAGUAAACGAUGAUUACUAGCUGUUUGCGAUACAAUGUAAGCGGCUGAGCGAAAGCGUUAAGUAAUCCACCUGGGGAGUACGUUCGCAAGAAUGAAACUCAAAGGAAUUGACGGGG